CCUACGGGUGGCAGCAGUCGAGAAUCAUUCACAAUGGGGGAAACCCUGAUGGUGCGACGCCGCGUGGGGGAAUGAAGGUCUUCGGAUUGUAAACCCCUGUCAUGUGGGAGCAAAUUAAAAAGAUAGUACCACAAGAGGAAGAGACGGCUAACUCUGUGCCAGCAGCCGCGGUAAAACAGAGGUCUCAAGCGGUGUUCGGAAUCACUGGGCGUAAAGCGUGCGUAGGCUGUUUCGUAAGUCGUGUGUGAAAGGCGCGGGCUCAACCCGCGGACGGCACAUGAUACUGCGAGACUAGAGUAGUGGAGAGGGAACCGGAAUUCUCGGUGUAGCAGUGAAAUGCGUAGAUAUCGAGAGGAACACUCGUGGCGAAGGCGGGUUCCUGGACAUUAACUGACGCUGAGGCACGAAGGCCAGGGGAGCGAAAGGGAUUAGAUACCCCAGUAGUC
rnacentral:rRNA from 1 species